UUCCAGCUCCAAUAGCGUAUAUUAAAGUUGUUGCAGUUAAAAAGCUCGUAGUUGAAUUUCGGGAUUGACACAUCGGUCGUGCCUUAAGGGGUAUGAACUGGUGUAGUCAAUUUCUCACCUUCUGGAGAACCGCGAUGUCCUUAAUUGGGUGCCGCGAGGAACCAGGACCUUUACUUUGAAAAAAUUAGAGUGUUUAAAGCAGGCAUUUUUGCUUGAAUACAUUAGCAUGGAAUAAUAAAAUAGGACGGCAUGAUUCUAUUUUGUUGGUUUCUAGGAUCACCGUAAUGAUUAAUAGGGAUAGUUGGGGGCAUUAGUAUUCAAUUGUCAGAGGUGAAAUUCUUGGAUUUAUUGAAGACUAACUACUGCGAAAGCAUUUGCCAAGGAUGUUUUCAUUAAUCAAGAACGAAAGUUAGGGGAUCGAAGACGAUCAGAUACCGUCGUAGUCUUAACCAUAAACUAUGCCGACUAGGAAUCAGACGAUGUUAAUUUU
rnacentral:rRNA from 1 species